GGCCGCGUGGCGCAACGGUAGCGCGUCAGAUUCCAGUUAAAUUUCAGUUUAAAAUGGAGAUUCCUGAAGGUUAAGCGUUCAAAUCGCUUCGUGGUCA